rnacentral:rRNA from 1 species
CUACGUGCCAGCAGCCGCGGUAAUACGUAGGUGGCAAGCGUUGUCCGGAAUUAUUGGGCGUAAAGCGCGCGCAGGCGGAUCUGCCAGUCUGUCUUAAAAGUUCGGGGCUCAACCCCGUGAUGGGAUGGAAACUACAGAUCUAGAGUAUCGGAGGGGAAAGUGGAAUUCCUAGUGUAGCGGUGAAAUGCGUAGAUAUUAGGAGGAACACCAGUGGCGAAGGCGACUUUCUGGACGAUCACUGACGCUGAGGCGCGAAAGCCAGGGGAGCGAACGGGAUUAGAUACCCCGGUAGUCCUGGCCGUAAACGAUGGGUACUAGGUGUAGGAGGUAUCGACCCCUUCUGUGCCGGAGUUAACGCAAUAAGUACCCCGCCUGGGGAGUACGACCGCAAGGUUGAAACUCAAAGGAAUUGACGGGGGCCCGCACAAGCGGUGGAGUAUGUGGUUUAAUUCGACGCAACGCGAAGAACCUUACCAGGUCUUGACAU